CACAAAUCGCACGUCUUCUUCUUAUCUCGUCUCCCUCUCCCUCUCUACAAGACGCAAAACAUUUCCCUCGUCUCCUUCUCUCUGAACCAAUAGGCGACCGGAAACCCUAGCGUGUAGCUGCAAGAAGACAACGAAUUGGAGUUCCCAACCGAGAUUGGACCGAGGUUUUCGUUAGCUCAAAGAAAAUUAUCUUCUUGUUGGGAAUCAAGUGAGAUUCAAGGCAUUUCAACAUGUGAUGAGGAGAACCAUUUGAGGUGGGUGGAUUUGGUGGGUUGUGAAGUUGGCUCAUUUUCCUCUUUUUACCUUGGUCAUGGAUAUGGUUUCUUGGUUGGUUUGGAUGUAGGUGGGAAUAUAUGGGUUGGAAGGCUAAGUGUUUGUUGAAGAUAUAAAAGUAAAUAAGGGAAGAAAGGAUUAGAGAAACGCGGAGACAGUGAAGUAGGAAACCACACGUUUAAGACAAAGUAUUUGGAGGGCUUUAGAUGCAUAUCUUCCUUUUUACCUCCACAAUACAUAAAACCAUAUUUUCUCUCUCUAUAUAACCAUUAUGCAACUACCAUCUCUAUUUCUCUCUCUACCAUGGAAUUCUUCUGUAGGUACUUGUGUAGGGGUUUGUGCCCUAAAGUCUCGUGUCCUGUAGUUUGUAAACAAUUUUGUAAGAACACUUGUGAUAUACAAUAUAUAUGAUAUUUACUUCA